rnacentral:rRNA from 1 species
AACGUAGGACGCGAGCGUUAUCCGGAGUUACUGGGCGUAAAGCGCGGGCAGGCGGUCUGACAAGUCUGAUGUGAAAUCUCCGGGCUUAACCGGGAGAGGCCAUUGGAAACUGACAGGCUGGAGGGCAGUAGAGGUAGGCGGAAUUCCGGGUGGAGUGGUGAAAUGCGUAGAGAUCCGGAGGAACACCAUAGGCGAAGGCGGCCUACUGGGCUGCACCUGACGCUGAGCCGCGAAAGCCAGGGGAGCGAACGGG